GGGGGGGGCUGGGGGGGGGGUGGGGGGGGGGGGGGGGGGCGGGGAGGCCUCUUUCGGGGGGGAGGCGGGUGGCGAACGGGUGGGGACCCGGGGAGUAAGCUGCCCUUGCCUUGGGGAUAACUUCAGGAAACUGGGGCUCAUACCGGAUAGGGGCUCCUACUGCAUGGUGGGGGUUGGACCGUUUCGGCGGGUUGGGAUGGACGUGCGGCGUAUCCGCUUGUUGGUGUGGUAGUGGCUUACCAAGGCUUUGACGGGUAGCCGGCCUGAGAGGGUGACCGGCCACAUUGGGACUGAGAGACGGACCAGACUCCUACGGGAGGCAGCAGUGGGGAAUAUUGCACAAUGGGUGGGAGCCUGAGGCAGCAACGCCGUGUGCGGGAUGACGGCCUUCGGGUUGUAAACCGCUUUCGCUCAUGACGAAGCGUUGUGUGACGGUAGUGGGUAAAGAAGCACCGGCUAACUACGU
rnacentral:rRNA from 1 species